CCAUGGCCGGCGCGCCCUCCUCCGGCCAUGCGCACGCGGCGGCCUGAGCUCCGGCGGUGGCGUCCAUGGCUGGCGCGGCUCUGUGCUGCCUCCGGGCACAAGGAAAGGGUAGCCUUUGUUUUUUCUUCUAAUUUUUUGUUCGUGCUUGUGCAGGAGGUUGGCAUCCGCCUACAGGUGAAUAGCGUGUGCAAGCACAAGCACCUUUCUUUCGAAGCCCAUCAAGUGGUGAAGUAGCUCAUCAGCGUAGUGUUCGGAACUUGGAAAAAAUUGAAGGGUAUUUAGUAGUGGACUGAUUGGGUUUUGUCUGAUGAAUCUGAUGAUAAUGGCUGCACCUUCAUGAUGCAUAUCAACAACGUCAGGUUGAUAAGCACAUUGAGAACAGCAUGAAUAUUUGGGUGGGAUUUAGCAUACGUUUGACCCUGUUGAUACUGCAAUCAGUGUGUGCAAUGAUCUACAGUCGUACCUGCUUCCAAGUUCCAAUGCCUUGUUUUUGUGGUCGACUCCACAAGCAGAUCAAGGUGUAGACUCUAAAAGUUUCGUAGAAUUACUUGCAAAUCCAAGAUGUGUCCUGGAAGAUUUCGUUAGAUGGCACUCUCCACUUGAUUGGUCUGAAGACUGUGCUGCAAACAGUACCACUGUAGGGGAAGGCUCAUCUAGACGUGGGCGGUUAAGUGAUAGAUGCAAACAAAAGAGGGAAACUUGUGGGAGGCUGCAAAACCUAUACCUGCCGUUGAACAGACUCCAAUAUAUGAUGAAGAUUUAGCAGUGGAGAGCAUCUUUGAUUCCUUGGAAGUUAUUGAGCCAUCUAAAUUGUUUUAGCUGCUACUUGCUGUCAUUGUAAGUUCGAUGAUCGCCCUUUUUCUUUUUGUCUUGUUUUUGCAGCUAGCUGCUAACUCUCGAUCUUAUUUAUCUUGGGACAAACUCUAAUGUCUUACUGACUGCUAUUUGCGAAUAGCAGCUUUCUGUAAGCUUUGUGGCAGCAGAUAGCAGCCUGUUAAAAUUAUUCUAGGAUUGCAGGGACUACAUAGCUGACACAUAGCUUCCAGGAUGUAGUCACCUUGCAUCAAUCCAAAUGCUGUGCUGAGUUUGCUCCUUGUGAUAUCCUCCUCGACAUUGUGCUGACCUCUGGCCCUUCAUCAAUAGAUUUUAUUUAGAGAACAAGAGUUCCAGCCAAGUGUUUUUUUUUUGGCUUCUACUGCUUUGUAGACAGUGGACAGUGGUGAGGCUGCACAAGCAUGGUUUCUAGGACAAAGUGAUUGUGCUUCAUGUGGUCAAGACAGAGACAGUGGAACACUUAUUCUGCAUUGCCCAUUCAGCAAAGAAGUCUGGUUCAAACUUCUCAGGAUGGCAGCUUUAAGUACUACCAACAAAUCCCAGCAAGUCUAAUCAACUCAGAAAGAAAUAUGGUAUGCCUUGUGCCAUUUGGUAGCCAUGACUUGAAAAAUGUGUUUUCUACUCUGUAUUUUUUUUGUAUUGGAAGUCAUUAUUUUAAACUAUUCUUUUAUAUGCAGAAAGAUACCUGGUUACAAGUUAAGCCUUACUAAAUUUCUUUAAACCAUUUGGAUGUUCAUUUAUUUUAUGUCAAUAGUUUGUUGUCAUGAAGAAGAAUAUUCCUCAUAUAUUAGAAGCUGAGCCUCGUAUAUGUAUGAUUGGAAUACUAUGGUCAAAUUUGAGCAUCCUCCUCCUUUUCUAUAUAUAGAAGCAAGAGCUUUGCUCCAAUGUGUUGAAGUGAGAAAUAUUCAUAUUGUGUCAUCCGUGGAGGCAUGAGGGGCCAUGGCGGCAGGUAUGGCAGCUCUGAUGCUGUUGCAAUUGGGACUUGAGAGGGCAAAAUAAGAUAGUAAUAUUUUUUAAUAAAAGAGAGAUAUGAAUUUAUGUGUGAAUAAAUAAUUUUUUAGUCUCACCUUGCUUUGUUAUAUUUUUCCUUUUCUUUAUGGAUAGGAUAUUUGAAUUCAGGAUACAUGAAGCUUUUUUGUAUUUUCAAUUGAUCUACUAAUAUAAGCAGCAGAGAAGCAUGCUUGGUCGGUCCUGCUAGCUUGCCCUGUAGGAAGAAUCUAGAUAUAUUCUUGUGUUUGAAAUAUUGACGAUCGAGCAAACAUGUUUUCUUUAUAUACUUGCAUUGUACGUGUAUGGUUCUUUCCAAACUAAGAUAUGGUUCUUCGGUUGAUCCAUCAAUUUGUAUUUCAUAAAUGGUGGCUAAUUGCAUAAAAACAAACUGUAAGUUUCCAGACUUGAUUUUUGGUUAUUUAAGUUUCCAAACAAUUUAUAUGGCCCAUUCUGAUUUUGGUUCGUUUCUAUCUUAACUUGGUGUUUGCAUUAUGGGUGCAGACUAAGCUCAUCAAGGAGUGGGAAAACUACCGGUUAAUGGAUCCUGCACAUUAUGGCUUUUCUGGAACAAUGGUGUUUCUGAAGCAUAGGAUAAUAAUCGAAUGGGAGGGACCCAAAGGAGGCUGAUGCUACUGUAUUAUGGGAGUGUGUUUGUCUGGACCAACAUUGGCACAUAUCCUUAGUGCCCCCCUCGAGGAAAGGCGACAGCUAGAGCAUGAGUUAGAGUUUGCCUUUUUUUUCUUCUAUCUUCCAUAGUGCGUGAAGACUCCUAUCUGUAAUUAUAUUUUCUUAACAUUAAUAAUUAUCUAUUCUGCAAAAAAGUUUGUUCAUUGAAAUAUAAAGUUUGUUUUUUAGGU